rnacentral:rRNA from 1 species
CUCUGAAGGGUAAAAGCGUAACAAGGUUUCCGUAGGUGAACCUGCGGAAGGAUCAUUA